UUCCGGUUGAUCCUGCCGGAGGUCACUGCUAUUGGGAUUCGACUAAGCCAUGCGAGUCGAGAGGGUUCGGCCCUCGGCUGACGGCUCAGUAACACGUGGAUAAUCUGCCCUUAGGUGGAGGAUAAUCUCGGGAAACUGAGGAUAAUACUCCAUAGAUCUAGGAUGCUGGAAUGCAUUUAGAUUGAAAGCUCCGGCGCCUAAGGAUGAGUCUGCGGACUAUCAGGUUGUAGUCAGGAUAAAGACCUGACUAGCCUAUGACGGAUACGGGUUGUGAGAGCAAUAACCCGGAGACGAUAUCUGAGACACGAUAUCGGGCCCUACGGGGCGCAGCAGGCGCGAAAACUUCACACUGUGCGAAAGCGCGAUGAGGGAAUCCCAAGUGCUUACUCGUAAGAGUAAGCUGUUUCUUUGUCUAAAAAGCAGAGAGAGUAAGGGCUGGGUAAGACGGGUGCCAGCCGCCGCGGUAAUACCUGCAGCUCAAGUGGUGAUCAUUAUUAUUGGGCCUAAAACGUCCGUAGCCGGUUUAGUAAAUGCCUGGGUAAAUCGUGUAGCUUAACUAUACGAAUUCCGGGUAGACUGCUAAACUUGAGACCGGGUGAGGCUAGAGGUACUCCUGGGGUAGAGGUGAAAUUCUGUAAUCCUAGGGGGACCACCAGUGGCGAAGGCGUCUAGCUAGAACGGGUCUGACGGUGAGGGACGAAGCCCUGGGGCGCAAACCGGAUUAGAUACCCGGGUAGUCCAGGGUGUAAACGCUGCUUGCUUGAUGUUAGUUGGGCUCCGAGCCCAACUAGUGUCGGAGAGAAGUUGUUAAGCAAGCUGCCUGGGAAGUACGGUCGCAAGGCUGAAACUUAAAGGAAUUGACGGGGGAGCACAGCAACGGGUGGAGCGUGCGGUUUAAUUG
rnacentral:rRNA from 1 species